rnacentral:rRNA from 1 species
AUGCUCUUUGCGGAUGAUGUGGUGCUAGUUGACGAUAGUCGGACGGGGGUAAAUAGGAAGUUAGAGUUAUGGAGACGAACCUUGGAAUCGAAAGGGUUUAGGCUUAGUAGAACUAAAACCGAGUACAUGAUGUGCGGUUUCAGUACUACUAGCUGUGAGGAGGAGGAGGUUAGCCUUGAUGGCCAGGUGGUACCUCGGAAGGACACCUUUCGUUAUUUGGGGUCAAUGUUGCAGGAGGAUGGGGGUAUUGAUGAAGAUGUGAACCAUGAAGAUGUGAACCAUCGAAUCAAAGCCGGAUGGAUGAAGUGGCGCCAAGCUUCUGGCAUUCUCUGUGACAAGUGA